GACGAACGCUGGCGGCGUGCUUAACACAUGCAAGUCGAACGGAAAGGCCCUGCUUUUGUUGGUUGCUCGAGUGGCGAACGGGUGAGUAACACGUGAGUAACCUGCCCUUGACUUUGGGAUAACUUCAGGAAACUGGGGCUCAUACCGGAUAUGAGCUCCUGCUGCAUGUUGGGGGUUGGAAAGUUUCGGCGGUUGGGGAUGGACUCGCGGCUUAUCAGCUUGUUGGUGGGGUAGUGGCUUACCAAGGGUUUGACGGGUAGCCGGCCUGAGAGGGGGACCGGCCACAUUGGGACUGAGAUACGGCCCAGACGCGUACGGGAGGCAGCAGGGGGGAAUAUUGCACAAUGGGCGGAAGCCUGAUGCAGAAACGCCGCGUGCGGGAUGACGGCCUUCGGGUUGUAAACCGCUUUCGACUGUGACGAAGAGUGAGUGACGGUAAUGGGUAAAGAAGCACCGGCUAACUACGUG
rnacentral:rRNA from 1 species